rnacentral:rRNA from 1 species
UACGGAGGGUGCAAGCGUUAAUCGGAUUUAUUGGGCGUAAAGGGCGCGUAGGCGGACAAAUAAGUCGAGUGUGAAAUCCUGAGGCUUAACCUCAGAUCUGCACUUGAAACUAUUUUGACUAGAGGGUAGGCGGAGAAAACGGAAUUCCACAAGUAGCGGUGAAAUGCGUAGAUAUGUGGAAGAACACCCGGUGGCGAAGGCGACUUUCUGGUCUGUAACUGACACUGAGGCGCGAAAGCGUGGGGAGCGAACAGG